rnacentral:rRNA from 1 species
CCCUUAGAUGUUCUGGGCCGCACGCGCGCUACACUGAUGCAUUCAACGAGCCUAUCCUUGACCGACAGGUCCGGGUAAUCUUUGAAUCUGCAUCGUGGCGGGGAUAGAUUAUUGCAAUUAUUAAUCUUCAACGAGGAAUGCCUAGUAGGCGCAAGUCAUCAGCUUGCGUCGAUUACGUCCCUGCCCUUUGUACACACCGCCCGUCGCUCCUACCGAUUGGGUGUGCUGGCGAAAUGUUCGGAUCGGCCGUUUGUCGCGGUUUCCGCGUCAUGUGGCUGAGAAGUUCAUUAAACCCUCCCACCUAGAGGAAGGAGAAGUCGUAACA